AACGAACGCUGGCGGCAUGCCUAACACAUGCAAGUCGAACGAGCCCUUCGGGGUUAGUGGCGCACGGGUGCGUAACGCGUGGGAAUCUGCCCUUCGGUUGGGAAUAACUCAGGGAAACUUGAGCUAAUACCUUAUAAUGUCUUCGGACCAAAGAUUUAUCGCCGAGGGAUGAGCCCGCGUAGGAUUAGGUAGUUGGUGGGGUAAUGGCCUACCAAGCCGACGAUCCUUAGCUGGUCUGAGAGGAUGAUCAGCCACACUGGGACUGAGACACGGCCCAGACUCCUACGGGAGGCAGCAGUGGGGGAUAUUGGACAAUGGGCGAAAGCCUGAUCCAGCAAUGCCGCGUGAGUGGUGAAGGCCUUAGGGUUGUAAAGCUCUUUUACCAGGGAUGAUAAUGACAGUACCUGGAGAAUAAGCUCCGGCUAACUCCGUGCCAGCCGCCGCUGUAA
rnacentral:rRNA from 1 species